GACGAACGCUGGCGGCGUGCUUAACACAUGCAAGUCGAACGGAAAGGCCCUGCUUUUGUGGGGUGCUCGAGUGGCGAACGGGUGAGUAACACGUGAGUAACCUGCCCUUGACUUUGGUAUAACUUCAGGAAACUGGGGCUAAUACCGGAUAGGAGCUCCUGCUGCAUGGUGGGGGUUGGAAAGUUUCGGCGGUUGGGGAUGGACUCGCGGCUUAUCAGCUUGUUGGUGGGGUAGUGGCUUACCAAGGCUUUGACGGGUAGCCGGCCUGAGAGGGUGACCGGCCACAUUGGGACUGAGAUACGGCCCAGACGCCUACGGGAGGCAGCAGUGGGGAAUAUUGCACAAUGGGCGGAAGCCUGAUGCAGCAACGCCGCGUGCGGGAUGACGGCCUUCGGGUUGUAAACCGCUUUCGCCUGUGACGAAGCGGGAGUGACGGUAAUGGGUAAAGAAGCACCGGCUAACUACGUG
rnacentral:rRNA from 1 species